ACCUAGAUUCCUUGUGUUUGAAGAAAAUGAAAACAACAUCUCCCGCCUAUGGAUUAAUUAAAAUGCUUCCUGAGUAGUUAAUACAUUGGUUGAUGAGAAGAAGGAAAGAAAAAUCCUCAGUACAAGUAAAAGCCAGGAAAGACCAUACUGGGGAAGAUGGACUUCAGCCAUGACCAGUACAGCCACUGUUACAAAUAUACCUGUACCAAAUUCUUUCUGCCUCACAGCAGACUGAAUGCUAGGAAGAGAAGUUGUGCUGGGGAAGGAGGAGGAUGUCUCCUGUACACUCAUCUUUUUCCGCGACAGAGUAUGCAGAGGCGACCACGCGCAUGAGUAGAGCUGGAGAAGCCAUUCUGAGUGCUGAAAAGAAACAAAAAACAAACUUGUACAUUUCUCUCUUCAAGAGAAGCACUGCAUGGCCUGAUGUUCUUCCCAUUGUAUCAUCUUCUACGUCUGGUCCCCAGCGCACAUCAGUGCAGCUCACUGUGCCUUCAGUUCCCAAGGAGAAGAAUAACAUAUCACUCUUGCAAAAGGCUGGCGAUCAUCCAUUCCUCCCAGCUUUUCUCUGCCUCAGGAGAAAGAAGUAUUGCUAAAUCGCGUGCUCCCUGACAAUCAGUAUUCAAGUAUUGACGAAGUGGCAACAGGUCAUUACAAAAUACCUUUCCUUUCUUGUUUGAGAAAUCAACUGGGUAAGUAUACUCUAAUGAGGUGAUAAGGCUGGCUACUGUAGAUUGUAUUGAUGUGACCCUCAGGUGACCUCAUCCGUUUACAGCAAAAGCAAACAGCAACAUUAGAAAUACCAAAGUCCCAAAUUUAUCUCGUUUAAGAACCUUUUCAGCAUUUUAGAAACACUGUAUGGGCAUCUCUAAAGUGAGAAGAUCUCUGAAGCUAGAAGAGCAGAGUGAUUGUCUAAGUUAAGUCUAAGUGCAGUUGCUACUGUUAAUUAUUAUUUACUGCUCCUGGAGGGGAGCAAAGUGCUCUGGAGUCCUGUAAAUUAGCCAAGGUCCAUACCCAAAGCACACAUAUGGUUUGUCUUAGCCUGGUAAUAAUGGUUCCAGAGGAAAUUUUGGAAACACUACCCAUGGGAAAAAGCAACUCUCACAUAAAUGACAGUCUUAGAGCAAAUGUGUCAUAACACAUGCGAAGACACAUACUAAUUUAAGUCUAUCCCAUCAUGUGAAACAAGUUAACAAGAAGGAAAAUUGAACGUAGUUCAUUCCAUACUGAAAAUAUCUGGAAUAUGAGCAUUUUUGAGAGAGGGAUUAAAAAAAAAAUUAGCAUACUAGAUGGGAAGUUCAGGUUAAAGAA